UACGAAGGGGGCUAGCGUUGUUCGGAAUCACUGGGCGUAAAGGGCGCGUAGGCGGCUCUUCAAGUCGGGGGUGAAAUCCCGUGGCUCAACCACGGAAUGGCCUUCGAUACUGGACGGCUCGAGACCGGAAGAGGUGAGUGGAACUGCGAGUGUAGAGGUGAAAUUCGUAGAUAUUCGCAAGAACACCAGUGGCGAAGGCGGCUCACUGGUCCGGUUCUGACGCUGAGGCGCGAAAGCGUGGGGAGCAAACAGG
rnacentral:rRNA from 1 species